rnacentral:rRNA from 2 species
ACCCUGAUCAGCCAUGCCGCGUGAGUGAUGAAGGCCUUAGGGUCGUAAAGCUCUCGCCUGUGAAGAUAAUGACGGUAGCAGGUAAAGAAACCCCGGCUAACUCCGUGCCAGCAGCCGCGGUAAUACGGAGGGGGUUAGCGUUGUUCGGAAUUACUGGGCGUAAAGCGCACGUAGGCGGACCAGAAAGUUGGGGGUGAAAUCCCGGGGCUCAACCCCGGAACUGCCUCCAAAACUAUUGGUCUAGAGUUCGAGAGAGGUGAGUGGAAUUCCAAGUGUAGAGGUGAAAUUCGUAGAUAUUUGGAGGAACACCAGUGGCGAAGGCGGCUCACUGGCUCGAUACUGACGCUGAGGUGCGAAAGUGUGGGGAGCAAACAGGAUUAGAUACCCUGGUAGUCCACACCGUAAACGAUGAAUGCCGUCGUCGGGUAGCAUGCUAUUCGGUGACACACCUAACGGAUUAAGCAU